ACAGCAUGACGUCACGUUGUGGACCAGGAACUACUUUCCACAUUCGAGCAGCGUUUGACACUAGUGUUCGCCUGCAUGCUAUGCCCUUGUUAGCCACGCCGCUAACCUAAGUGUCCCAUAUGGAAAGAUGAAUUAAAAUUGAUAUCAGAAAGAGAUCUGAUAGACACCUAUAUUUGCCAUUCGUUGCUAAUAGCAGGAUGUUAAGAGCCGGAAGUGCAGUUACCUGCAUUGCCUGCAUGAAUCUGCUUCCCUCCAGAAUGGGGGUGAAGUUCAGAGUUCCGUUGCAGAAACUGCACCCGCUCUCCCGUGCCAUCCAGCACCGCUACUCUUCCAACAACAAUCAACAGAGACCACCUCACUGCUCAGCUGCCCGCCAUUACACAUCUCUCUCCAGGCUCCCCAUGCGUCCUCACAAAUCCCGGUCAGGAGGCCACGGCUAUCAACAGCACCGGUCCUUCUGGGUGGCCCGUCUUGCUGCCAGACUGCUGAAACUGAGGUACAUCUUGCUGGGCUCAGCAGUUGGAGGCGGAUAUACAGCAAAAAAGACUUACGAUGAAUGGAAGGAUAUGUUUCCAGAUAUGAGCCAAUACACAUGGAUUGUGCCAGAUUUUGUUUGGGAGCUGAGUGAAAAUAUUGAUUUAGACAAACUAGCCAGUGCUUUACCUGAACUAGAAAAGAUAGCCAAACUACUACCUGAUAUGGAAAAGAUUGGAGAGAACUUCACCUUCCUGAAGAGCCUCCUCUCCACUGGUUUGGGUAGUGAAGUCAAUGGAGCAUCUGGUCUGCAUCUGUUAUUAGAAACCACAGGUGAAUCAACCCUGAGAGUGACUGAUGUCCCUCCAACAUCUGCAGCUAUGUCUGACAGCAGCGAUAAACAGUUUAAGAAGCAGGGGCUGCUCAGCGAGCUCAUUCUCAUUCAGCAGCAGAUCCAGCAGCAUGAGGAGGAGAUGCGGCGGGCGGCAGCUAAUAAUGCUCCACCUCCGCCGCGUGAACCCAGUCCCAACCCGGCCCCGAACCCCAGCCCCUCGCAGUCCAACCGCAAGUCAUAUGAUAAAGAAAAAAUUGACCAGCUUCAGGAAGAACUUCUUCGAACUCAGUCGAAGUACCAACGGAUGCUGGAGCGUCUGGAAAAAGAGAAUAAAGAACUGAGGAAAGUCGUAUUGCAGAAAGAUGAAAAGGGUAUUCACCAAAGAAAUGUCAAGAAGUCUUUGAUUGAUAUGUACUCUGAGGUCCUGGACAUUCUUUCAUUUUAUGACUCCAACUACAAUACUCAAGAUCAUCUUCCAAGGGUGGUGGUAGUUGGAGACCAGAGUGCAGGAAAGACCAGUGUUUUGGAGAUGAUAGCUCAAGCUAGGAUCUUUCCUAGAGGCUCUGGAGAAAUGAUGACCAGAUCUCCUGUCAAGGUGACAUUGAGCGAAGGCCCUCACCAUGUAGCAAUCUUCAAAGACAGCACUCGUGAGUUUGACCUCGGGAAAGAGGAGGAUCUUGCAGCAUUGAGGCAUGAGAUUGAACUCAGGAUGAGGAAGAGUGUGAAGGAAGGUCAGACAGUCAGUCCUGAGACCAUCUCUUUAAGUGUAAAGGGUCCAGGAAUCCAGAGAAUGGUGCUCGUUGACUUGCCGGGGGUCAUCAGUACUGUGACAGCCGGCAUGGCUGCUGACACAAAAGAAACCAUUUUUAGCAUUAGUAAAGCCUACAUGCAGAAUCCAAAUGCCAUCAUCCUCUGUAUUCAGGAUGGCUCAGUAGAUGCAGAGCGUAGUAUAGUCACUGAUCUGGUCAGUCAGAUGGACCCUCAGGGCAAAAGGACCAUCUUUGUUCUUACAAAGGUUGACCUGGCAGAAAAGAACCUAGCUAGUCCAAGCAGAAUCCAGCAAAUAGUUGAAGGCAAAUUAUUCCCAAUGAAGGCUUUGGGCUACUUUGCUGUAGUAACUGGAAAAGGCAGUUCUAAUGAGAGCAUAGACUCCAUCAAAGACUAUGAGGAGGACUUCUUUCAGAAAUCAAGACUGCUGAGGGAUGGCAUGUUGAAAGCUCAUCAGGUGACCACAAAGAACCUCAGUCUUGCAGUGUCAGACUGCUUCUGGAAAAUGGUCAGGGAGUCAGUGGAACAACAAGCUGAUGUCUUUAAAGCAUCCCGAUUUAACCUGGAGACUGAGUGGAAGAACAACUAUCCUCGCUUACGAGAGCUGGACAGGAACGAGCUGUAUGAGAAGGCCAAAAAUGAGAUCUUGGAUGAGGUGAUCAGCUUGAGUCAAGUUACACCAAAACACUGGGAGUCCAUCUUACAGAAGAAGCUCUGGGAAAGAGUCUCGACACAUGUUAUUGAGAACAUCUACCUGCCUGCUGCCCAGACCAUGAACUCAGGCACUUUCAACACCACUGUAGACAUCAAACUCAAGCAAUGGACUGAUAAACAACUUCCUCAUAAAGCACUGGAGGUUGCUUGGGAGACAUUGCAGGAGGAGUUUGCCCGCUUCAUGGCAGAGUACAAAGGGAAAGACCAGGAUGACAUCUUCGAUAAGCUUAAGGAAGCUGUCAAGGAUGAGAGCAUCAAACGACACAAAUGGAACGAAAGAGCCAUGGACAGCUUGAGAGUGAUUCAACACAACGCUCUGGAGGAUUGUUCUAUCACAGACAAGCCCCAGUGGGAUGCCGCUAUUCAGUUCAUGGAGGAAACGCUACAGUCUCGCCUUAAAGACACUGACUCAAUAAUAGCAGAUAUGGUGGGGCCAGACUGGAAGCAGAGGUGGUUGAGCUGGACAAAUCGAACACCAGAGCAGCACAUACGUAAUGAGACCAAAAACGAGUUGGAGCGUGUGUUGAAGCUGCAUGAGGAUCACACAGCCUACCUGGCCAAUGAUGAGGUCACUACAGUGCGCAAAAACCUGGAGGCCCGAGGAGUGGACGUGGACCCUGUACUGAUCAAGGACACGUGGCACCAGUUGUAUCGACGUCAUUUCCUGCAAAAGGCAUUACUACAUUGUAACCUCUGCCGGCGAGGUUUCUACUACUACCAGAGGCACUUUGUAGACUCUGAGCUUGAGUGCAAUGAUGUGGUUCUGUUCUGGAGGAUCCAGAGGAUGCUGGCUAUCACAGCCAAUACUCUUAGACAGCAGCUCACUAAUACGGAAGUGCGGCGCUUGGAGAAGAACGUUAAAGAAGUAUUAGAGGACUUUGGAGAGGAUACUGAGAAGAAAGUCCAGCUGAUCACAGGAAGGAGGGUUCAGUUGGCAGAAGACCUCAUCACCCACACUGCCCAAACCUGGGGAAGCGGAAGUCAAAUGAGUGGGAAAUGAACUGGAGAACUUGCAUUUCCAUUUCACCAUUUGUCCCGUCACAGAAAGUGCCUCUGGGGUCGGCAGGAUCGAGUCCAUUGUCAUUCGGUCUCCUGCAAGGCUGUUCUCAAAGCCUCCGCACUAUACAUCUAUCUGUCAGAGAGUCUGUUAUGAGAAAAAGUACGUGAGAUUCAGGAGAAACUUGAAGCUUUCAUUGAAGCUCUUCACAAAGAGAAAUAGAGCAGAUCAUCUUGUUUCUGGACAGUCAUGCCCUUACAGAAAAAUGCACUGAUUAAAUACAACAUAAUUUGCCCUUCGUAAUUGAAUAUCUUCCCUGCUUCUCGUCCUCUCUGUCUCUCUCUCUUUUUUAUGUAUACUGCUUCAGCUUUCAGUCUUCUCACACACAUGAACACACGCUCUCUUCCCCCUCAAAACAGUGAAAGUAAGCAAAGUGAGCUGGGGUGCCUUACAUUUGCUGCAUAUUUAAUCACUGUUGGAGAAUAAGCACUUACUCAACUAGAGAAUGGUACAUGUCAUGCUUUACUCUUUCUUCCUCCAGUGCUUAAAAGCCAGACAUGUUUUCCCAAGAAACCAGUCAGACAGACAUGCACAUACAUCUUCUCCCAAUCCCUCGUUCCCAAUAAAAUACUUUGUCCGGGUCUCUCUUUUCUCUGACUUUCUUUAUUAAUGAAGGUGUUAUUUAUGGAGAAGCCAAGAGGUAAAAUGCACCUUUUAUUAAUUGGCCUUAAUAGACAAAAUAUUCAAAAAUGUCUUGUCACCAAUUGCCACCUUCCUUCAUAUUUUGGAGUUGUGAUUUCCCAAUAUUUAUCCAAAUUACACACGUCCUGAUAAUUUUGAGUGUAAAGGGCACCACACCUUUGUUCCUGGUUGCUCAUUAAUGUUAAUGGGUAAAUAUACAUGUACUUGAAAAGUAUCCAAGUUCAUUGAAAUCAUGGAUCUGUUGUCACAAUGGGAAAAUAUCUGAGUGUGGUGCUUGUAUCAGAAUAUCUGUCGGAUGAUUUAAGAAUGUUUCCACUUUUUGUUGUAGAUUGUAAUUUUUGCAUGUCGUAUCCCAUCAGAUGUGGUUUAUUUAUUAAAUUGGUGUUUAAAAAAAAAAAGGAGUAAUAAAAGUGACUUUAAAUGUAUGUUAAACAGAGUGGGUGGGGUUGGACAAAAUCCAGUGUGUGUAAAUUUCUAACUUGAUUUAAUUUGACGAUUGCUGGUAAACUUUUUGAUGGGCACAGUGUAUGUUUCCUCAUUGGUUUUACACUGGCUAAAUGAUAAAGUAUUUUAUUUUAGGUAAAAUUA